UCGGGAAUUUUGGGCAAUGGGCGAAAGCCUGACCCAGCAACGCCGCGUGAAGGAUGAAGUAUUUCGGUAUGUAAACUUCGUAAGAAUAGGAAGAAUAAAUGACGGUACUAUUUGUAAGGUCCGGCUAACUACGUGCCAGCAGCCGCGGUAAUACGUAGGGACCAAGCGUUGUUCGGAUUUACUGGGCGUAAAGGGCGCGUAGGCGGCGUGGUAAGUCAUCUGUGAAAUCUCCGAGCUUAACUCGGAACGGUCAGAUGAUACUGCUGUGCUAGAGUACAGAAAGGGCAAUCGGAAUUCUUGGUGUAGCGGUGAAAUGCGUAGAUAUCAAGAGGAACACCUGAGGCGAAGGCGGGUUGCUAGGCUGAUACUGACGCUGAGGCGCGAAAGCUAGGGUAGCAAACGGGAUUAGAUACCCAGGUAGUCCCUGAGCGGGCUGGCAAGGCG
rnacentral:rRNA from 1 species